UACGUAGGGUGCGAGCGUUAAUCGGAAUUACUGGGCGUAAAGCGUGCGCAGGCGGUGAUGUAAGACCGAUGUGAAAUCCCCGGGCUUAACCUGGGAACUGCAUUUGUGACUGCAUCGCUGGAGUGCGGCAGAGGGGGGUGGAAUUCCGCGUGUAGCAGUGAAAUGCGUAGAGAUGCGGAGGAACACCGAUGGCGAAGGCAAUCCCCUGGGCCCGCACUGACGCUCAUGCACGAAAGCGUGGGAGCAAACAGG
rnacentral:rRNA from 1 species